CUCAACCUGGGAAUGGCAUUCGAUACUGUCCAGCUAGAGUCUGGUAGAGGGAAGUGGAAUUUCCGGUGUAGCGGUGAAAUGCGUAGAUAUCGGAAGGAACACCAGUGGCGAAGGCGACUUCCUGGACCAAGACUGACGCUGAGGUGCGAAAGCGUGGGUAGCAAACAGGAUUAGAUACCCUGGUAGUCCACGCCGUAAACGUUGAGAACUAGCCGUUGGACCCAUUUAAGGGUUUAGCGGCGCAGCUAACGCAAUAAGUUCUCCGCCUGGGGAGUACGGCCGCAAGGCUAAAACUCAAAGGAAUUGACGGGGGCCCGCACAAGCGGUGGAGCAUGUGGUUUAAUUCGAUGCAACGCGAAGAACCUUACCUGCCCUUGACAUCCUCGGAACUUGGUAGAGAUACCUUGGUGCCUUCGGGAGCCG
rnacentral:rRNA from 1 species